AUGCGCAUGCGCAGACAGAGUGUGCUAGCGGCGGGCCUUGACCUUUCGGGAAAAAAACUCACGGACGGUGACAGCGAAACGGAUAACAGUCUUCAGUACCUGCUGGACUUUGAAGCUGUGGAUUCUGGGACUGUUAGAAAAGAGGCAGCGGCGAGAGGGGAGACCUCGGCUCAUCCAGCUGGAGAGCCUGACCAGGAGGAGUCGAACAUUAACUCAGCUCUUCCAGGGCACCCUGCAGACUCGGCUGCUGGCAUCGGCGAGGGAUGACGUGAACGCCAAACUGGAGUCCAUCACAGGUCAACUGCAGCUCCUUGUCUCAGAGUGGGAGGGAUUUGAAGCACAAAGGGAGGAGCUUGUCGUUUGGUUGGCUGAUAUGGAUGUCCGCCUGAG